UUAGCUGAGUGUAGUCAUCAAUGUCAUCACACAAUGAUUCAACCGCUGUCUCAUCAAAAUAUAGUUCUCUCGCGGAGGAAUAUAAUCGAUGACUACUCCCAGCACUUGAAUAUUGUUCACACUUCACUUGCUUGUCUGAUUGCAGCGAAGGAAGACGUGAAUUUAAAUUAUUAACCAUGGCAGACAAACCAGAUCUCGAGGAAGUAACUAAGUUUGAUAAAUCAAAAUUGAAGAAAACAGAAACACAAGAGAAAAACCCUUUACCGACCAAAGAAACAAUUGAACAAGAGAAGACGGCAUAGUUGUCAGUUUGUGAUGCUACAGAAUCUUGGAGGCCUUUUCAUUCCAUCCACACCCUGAGAAUUUCAUCAAGCCAGGGACUAAAUUUGACUUUUGUCUCCGAAGAUAUACACGUGCUCAUUAUAUUUAUGAAUUUAUGAAAGAAUUCCAUUUUGUAUGAUGUUUUUGUUAGGCAAAAAGCAUAUUUUUUUAUUUUCAUGCAAAUUAUUUACAUAAACUUGCGAUGGGUUCAAAAUGGGGGAACUAUCAUAAUGUUGAAAAUUCAUUAAAAUGCUUCUUAAUCAGCGGCUUUGAACUAAUAAAACAAGAGGUUCAAGUUGAACGGGUGUGAUCCGAUGAAAAGGAAAGUAUUAUUGAUGCAAGCAAUGUGAUUAUCAGAUAUGUAGUGGCCCUGUUUUAAUCACUUCAUGCAAGCUUUGGUAUUUAAUAAAUUGUAUAACUUUUUAUAAA